rnacentral:rRNA from 1 species
ACGCACGCUGGCGGCGUGCUUAACACCUGCCAGUCGCACGGUAAGGCUCCAGCUUGCUGGGGUACACGAGUGGCGAACGGGUGAGUAACACGUGGGUGACCUGCCCUGCACUUCGGGAUAAGCCUGGGAAACUGGGUCUAAUACCGGAUAGGACCGCACCGUGAGGGUGUGGUGGAAAGUUUUUUCGGUGUGGGAUGGGCCCGCGGCCUAUCAGCUUGUUGGUGGGGUAAUGGCCUACCAAGGCGGCGACGGGUAGCCGGCCUGAGAGGGUGGACGGCCACAUUGGGACUGAGACACGGCCCAGACUCCUACGGGAGGCAGCAGUGGGGAAUAUUGCACAAUGGGCGGAAGCCUGAUGCAGCGACGCCGCGUGGGGGAUGACGGCCUUCGGGUUGUAAACUCCUUUCACCAUCGACGAAGGGUUUCUGACGGUAGAUGGAGAAGAAGCACCGGCUAACUACGUG